CCUACGGGAGGCAGCAGUGGGGGAUAUUGCGCAAUGGGGGAAACCCUGACGCAGCAACGCCGCGUGAAGGAAGACGGUUUUCGGAUUGUAAACUUCUUUUGUCAGGGACGAAUAGAUGACGGUACUUGACGAAUAAGACCCGGCUAACUACGUGCCAGCAGCCGCGGUAAU
rnacentral:rRNA from 1 species